GAAACCCUGAUCUAAAGAAACAUCAGGCCGGGCGCGGUGGCUCACGCCUGUAUGGGAGGCCGAGGCGGGUGGAUCACGAGGUCAGGAGAUCGAGACCACGGUGAAACCCCGUCUCUACUAAAAAUACAAAAAAAAUUAGCCGGGCGCGGUGGCGGGCGCCUGUAGCCCCAGCUACUCGGGAGGCUGAGCCAGGAGAAUGGCGUGAACCCGGGAGGCAGAGCUUGCAGUGAGCCGAGAUCGCUCCACGGCACUCCAGCUUGGGCAACAGAGCGAGACUCCAUCUUAAAAAAAAAAAAAAAAAGAAACAUCAGUGGAAGAGGAAGAAACUGCAGGAGAGACCAGCAAAGGAGUGAAGGAAGCAGAGCAAGGAAGGAGAAUAAGCUACACAAUGCUGUGAUUACAGGUACAGGAAUAAACUUACGUGAUCCUCAUUUCAAGGAGAAGAAGGAGAAGUUGAAGAAGGAGGAGAAGGAGAAGGAUGAGAAGAAAAACAAGAAGAGGAAGGAGAAGGAGGAGGAAAAUGAGAAGGAGAAGAAGAGAAGGAACAGCAGCAGUUGCAGGAGGAGGAGAAAGAGGAGGAGGAGGAGGAGGGAGUGUGCAGAAGCUGGGGGGGAUUCCAAUGUUGGAAGCAUUUUUAGCGUACAACAACAUCCAAGUGGAUUACUAUGAAUGCCUAGACCUCUAUGGCAAACAGUCUCUUCGUGGCCUGUGCUGAGGACUACAUCAGUCUCCUGCAAUUAUCAUCUACACUGAAAAACAAAGAGGACAGAGGCGAAGCUAGUGGCCCUCACCAUCCCCUGCAAGCUGAUUGCUUCUUACUGCAAGCACUUGAGCAUCUUCCUGAGAGCUUUCUUGGGCAAUGGGAACCAGGCUUGGCCCAAUCACAGGCAGGUGAAGUAUGAGGAAAUGGAGAAGGCAUUGUCCAAGGAGCAGUCUUCAACCUUCACCCCGCAAGUGAGACAACUCUGAAUAAGAUGUGUUCUACACUCUCUUCCAAAGGUCCCCAGUUGGAUGGAGCUCUAGCUGCUCAUGUGAUAAGCUGCCUAUUAAUACACAAAAGAUUGCCUUUCCUCCUUGCUCUGUCUUCCUGCUGCUCUCCUACUAAUGUUUCCUGGGAUUGCCUCCAAAUAAACCACUUGAACUCACA
rnacentral:lncRNA from 1 species